ensembl:lncRNA
CACAUUCUUAUCCAUGUAGUGGAAUAUAACUCAGCCCUGAAAAGGAGCAGACUAUUGAUAAAGUAAUAUGAGCGAAUUGUAAAGCAAUUAUGCUGAGCAAAAACAGCCAGAGAAAAACAGUACAUAUGUUCUGCCCCUCGGUACUGUGUGACCCUGGAUAAGUCAUCGGAGCUUUUCUGUGCCUCCCUUAGAAGGUGAAAAAGCAGAGUCAACGACUUCAAAGAAAUGUGACACUACUACCAGGGAGGGGAUUUCUGGCCUCUUCCACAGCCCUGGUGAAAAUCUUGCUAGGAACAAUACGUCUUCUGUGAAACCCUCUCCACAGAAAGUGGUGGACAUAAAUCUCCCCUCUCACCGCUGGUGCUGAAGUCAAACCGAGACCAGCUAGAGGAUUUGGAAGGAUUGGC